rnacentral:tRNA from 1 species
UCCGCAUUAGUGUAGUGGUUAACAUAUUUGUCUUUCAUCUCAUGUGGGAGCAUCACAGAAGCCGGGGGUUCGAUUCCCCCAUGCGGAG